UUUCCAUGUAAUUUUUAUUGAUAUCGAUAUUAUCCCGAUAUUUCCAUCGAUAUUUCCGUGUUUUCGGACUACCGAUAUUUCCGAUAUUACCGAUAUUUUCUUCCUUGUGGGGAAGUAUAACAUUAACUCUAAGUGUUGGUUUAAUCUACCGUUUUGAUGUGAUACUCAUUUUACAAAAUGUUUUUCAACGAUCCAACCAUCAAACUUGUUUUUACACACACCGAGAUCGCAUAUGUAAAAAAUCUCAAAAAACAAACAUUCAGAGAUUAGGUAACGAAACAAAAGUUUUCGAUGGUUAUAAACGAAAAAUCACAAUUUAACGGUUAUUUUAGCUCUGAUUUUGAUGAUUUUUUGUAGCUACACUCCUCGAUCCUAUAAGAAUGCGAUGAAUGAAUUCGAUCUUCAAUUUAAAAUAUUUACACUAGUGGAUAAAUCUUAUUUUAUAGUUAAUGGAAGUAUAACAUUAACUCUUAAGUGUUUGUUGAAUCUAUCAAUUUGAUAGGAUAUGCAUUAUACGAAACUAGUUUCAAUGAUCCAACCGUCAAAUAUGUUUGUAUAAACUCCAAGAUAGCAUGUGU
rnacentral:lncRNA from 1 species